GUUUUUAUAGUUUAAAAUAAAACAUUGGUCUUGUAAACCAAAAAUAAGUAAAUUCUUUUAAAACU
rnacentral:tRNA from 1 species